rnacentral:lncRNA from 10 species
GGAUUACAGGUGUGGUAACAACUUCUCUGAGAGAAUUUCCUCACCAAUAAAACAAGAUUGUAAUAUCCGUCUUCUUAGAUUGUUAUAUGAGGAUUAAAUAAGUGCAAAUUGCUUAGUUCGGCAUCGGGAAUGUAAUAUGUUCAGAAGAUGUGGUUAUUAUUUUCUAGCUUUAAAGAUACGCACACAUGGCCUUGUUUCUUUCUCAUUCCCAGCUCUAUUAAUUUCACUUCCUACUUUCUAUUUUCAGCCAUUUAGAGAAGCAAGUCUGCGACUCUCUAGCAAUCCUGGAUUUUAUGGAAAUUAUCUCUCCCAUCUCAGAGGGUUUCAAGGCCCAUAAACCUGCUCCUCCCACAGCUUGCUGUCUGCAGUUCGGGGGCGGAUGAACCACUCUGUGUCCCAGCCCACUCUCCGCUGUUGAGGAUCAGCGUCCCGGGAUCUUUGGUCUGCGCUCUCCUGCUAAGCCCAGGACGUUUCCUUCCCUUUUUCCCUGUGCCCCUGUUCCUUGGCCACAGGGUGGAGGUGAGCUCACGCCCCUGCCCCUCCGUUCCCUUCACCUCCAUUCUGGCAUGUUGCCCCCACUGUUCUCAGACUGGGGUGCUCGAGCAAUCUGCCCUCCUGUGUUUUGGGGGCUGUCCAGCUGUAACCCCUUCCCUGGGUUGGGCUGCUUUACACUUGGGCUCCCACCAGGGUCCAGGAAGGGGUGGGGGCUUGGGGGUGGAGACUAUGGACCCCACCUCCUCCUGGGAAUGGGCACCUGGAUGGCUGCUUUAUGGCCAUGUGAAAGCAGAGCAGGCAUCACUCAUUCCAUCCUCAUUCAUUCCUUCACUCACAACAAGUGCUGCAGAUACCCAAGAUGACUAAGAAAUGGCCCCUGCUUUCAAAAAGCUCAGUCUAGUCCCAUGAUGUCCUUAAUCACACCCCCUCAAAAAAGUCGUAUUAAGCAGUAGGUAAGGGGAAGUGACCUCUAAGAAGGAUCUAACAGUGGAAAUUACCUAUCUUAACGACACAGGUAAAUUCAACUUUGUAAAAGAGUUUAUGGAGUGAGAAAAAGCAUCAGAAUCAAGUAAGUUUGAGGGAUGAAGCCAAGUGUGCUUUUAGAAAAGUCUAUUCACAUUGCAAAGGUUUCUCUCCUUUCGACAGUGGCUCAUGCCUAUAAUCCCAGCACUUUGGGAGGCCAAGGUGGGAGGAUCACUUGAGUUCAAGAGUUCAAGACCAGCCUGGGCAACAUAGGGAGAACCUGUCUCCAUAAAAAGGUUUAAAAAUCAGCCAGGUGUGGUGGCAUGUGCUUGCAGUCCUAUUAGGGAGGCUGAGGUGAGAGAAUCACUUGAGCCCAGGAGUUCAAGGUUGCAGUGAGCUAUGAUGGUGUCACUGCACUCCAGCCUGGGUGACAAAACGAGACCCUGUCUCUAAAAAAAAUAAAGUUUAAAUUUAAAUCUAAAAAUAAGAGAUUCCCUCCUUUUAAGUAGUCUAGAAACAGGAGCCAUUCUUGUUUCUAUUUUCUGGUUACAUAUUUAGUGUCCUGUGUCGGGAGGGUGGCAGGGUGCUGGAGCUCACUUCUAGGCCACACUGACCGUAACAUUAUACCAUGAGACACCCACUGCUCACAGAUGUGGUUAUUUCCAGGACUCCACUUCUGGAAACAAGGCCCCAAGUGACUGGCUGUGGGACAUUCUCCUCCCUCCAAAAGUGUGAAAUAAACAUCACUUAGAAAAAACUUUGCAAUUGGUAAAACAGUAAGCAAUGAAACAGACACUUCUCAAAUAUUC